GCGCGAAACCUCUGCAAUAGGCGAAAGCCUGACAGGGUUAUUCUGAGUGACUUUCGCUAAGAAAGUCUUUUGACAUCUCUAAAAAUGGUGUAGAAUAAGGGGUGGGCAAGUCUGGUGUCAGCCGCCGCGGUAAUACCAGCACCCCGAGUGGUCGGGACGAUUAUUGGGCCUAAAGCAUCCGUAGCCGGUUUUACAAGUCCUCCGUUAAAUCCAACUGCUUAACAGAUGGGCCGCGGAGGAUACUAUAAGACUAGGAGGCAGGAGAGGCAAGCGGUACUCAGUGGGUAGGGGUAAAAUCCGUUGAUCCAUUGAAGACCACCAGUGGCGAAGGCGGCUUGCCAGAAUGCGCUCGACGGUGAGGGAUGAAAGCUGGGGGAGCAAACCGG
rnacentral:rRNA from 1 species